rnacentral:rRNA from 1 species
AGACGUAGGUGACAAGCGUUAUCCGGAUUUACUGGGCGUAAAGGGCGUGUAGGCGGUCUUGCAAGUCAGAAGUGAAAUUCCUGAGCUCAACUCGGGCGCUGCUUCUGAAACUGCAGGACUUGAGUGCUGGAGGGGAUAGCGGAAUUCCUAGUGGAGCGGUAAAAUGCGCAGAUAUCAGGAGGAACACCGGUGGCGAAGGCGGCUUACUGGGCUUUUACUGACGCUGAGGCUCGAAAGCGUGGGGAGCAAACAGGAUUAGAUACCCUGGUAGUCCACGCUGUAAACGAUGAUUACUAGGUGUGGGGGGACUGACCCCUUCCGUGCCGCAGUUAACACAAUAAGUAAUCCACCUGGGGAGUACGGCCGCAAGGUUAAAACUCAAAUGAAUUGACGGGG